UAGUCCACGCCGUAAACGAUGGAUACUAGGUGUCCGGGAAGUUAACCUCCUGGGUACUACAGCUAACGCGUUAAGUAUCCCGCCUGGGGAGUACGGUCGCAAGGCUAAAACACAAAGGAAUUGACGGGGGCCCGCACAAGCGGUGGAGUAUGUGGUUUAAUUCGAAGCAACGCGCAGAACCUUACCUACCCUUAACAUUUCACGCUCGCCUCAGAGAUGAGGUUUUCUCUUCGGAGACGUGAGGAUAGGUGCUGCAUGGCUGUCGUCAGCUCGUGUCGUAAGAUGUUGGGUUAAGUCCCGUAACGAGCGCAACCCUUGUCCUUAGCUGCUAACAUUUAGUUGAGAACUCUAAGGAGACUGCCGGUGACAAACCGGAGGAAGGUGGGGACGACGUCAAGUCAUCAUGGCCCUUACGACCUGGGCUACACACGUGCUAUAAUGGGCAGUACAGAGGGUCGCCAAGCCGCGAGGUGGAGCUAAUCCCUUAAAACUGUUCGUAGUUCGGAUUGGAGUCUGCAACUCGACUCCA
rnacentral:rRNA from 1 species